UGCGUUCAUCCUCACCACCUUCCAUUCACCACUUCAUGACAGUUAUGAUUAGAAGGUUACAGUUGAUUCUGUUGUGGUGCCUGUGGAAACGAAGAGCAUGAAGUUUGUGCUCAGGUGGGAAAACCCUGUGGAUCACAUGGUGGGACUUCUGCUCCAAACUGCUCACUACAGUUUACCAUUACCUCUGUCAUCCACCAGUUCACUGCAAACUGGCACCAGUUCACUGCAGACUGGUACCAGUUCACUGCAGUUCACUGCAGACUGGCACCAGUUCACUGCAGUUCACUGCAGACUGGCACCAGUUCACUGCAGUUCACUGCAGACUGGGACCAGUUCACUGCAGACUGCCACCUGCCAAGGACCCUACAUGGAUGUCUUCUUAAGUUGUAAACCCUGAGUACAUACUGUUAAAAUAAAAUUGAUAUGCCUUUUGUAAA